rnacentral:lncRNA from 1 species
AGAUCAGACUAUCCAACCUCCGUUUCUUUUUUAAUGGAGCCACCCGCUAUUCAUCACUCUGUCCAGCCAUGGCGAAGAAUAGGAGAUCGCUAUCGGGACCAGAUAACCGCCGCAGGUCCACAGGCACUGUACGCGAACAGCUGAUCCUAGGAGACCAAUCCCUCUCCAUGGGCAGUGCAUCGGGGGACAACCUCUUCUCCAAGGGCGGUGCAUCGGAGGCCAACCCCUGUCCAAGGGCGGUGCAUCGGGGCCAACGCCGGAGCCGUGAGUUUGCAGUGGUUCUUGUUUGCCCACAGCAGUCAGCCGUUCAUCGGGAGGACUGAAUACUACAGCUACUUGAUAUUUAUCUCCCCAAUCGCCACCAGGAGAAUGGUGCAAUGCAAAACAUUGGAGGGCAGCUUUCCCAAUCAAUAGGAUACGUAAUGGUCUAGAUUAUCUGUUUUAAAAAAUAAACAACUUAGGAAGUAGAAUGAAAAGCCAACAUGGUGCCAUGUGUUUGGAAAAACAAGAGGGACGUUUUGACGACGAUUCAAAACCACACAUAAAAAACAUUGUGUUUUGCAAAGACUUGCAGUUUGGCAAGUCCGGUAUUGUAAUACUGAUGGAAAUAUUAUUUACUAAUCAUUAUAACCCCCAUCUCUUCAUGUAACAAAUAUCUUAGAACACGGCAGCCAAAAUGCUUCACAGCUCCCCCUUUGUUAUUUUAUUUACUUAUUGUUAUUUUCCUCCAGGUAAAAAGAUAAUGAUAUCAUGUUGAAUCACUGGUUCUGAUCAUAUAGCCUACAAUGUGAAUGAAUUGAAAACAUGAAUAAAACAGAAAACUAAAUUCACUCAAUAAAAUGUACUUCUAAAGUUCAGCUUGUAGUUCAUCCAGCCGGCCAUUAUGUUAUCCUAAAAACAGAGAUCAAUGACUGGAGACGUUAAUGAUUGACCCCACCACAUGAGGACAAUGACACGGCCAUAUGCUCGCCGAUAAAAGCCUCUUGUCGUUUUUACCGUCUCUCUUUCCACUGAGAGCACUGGGGGCUAGGGUCGGUGUGGUGCCGAGACAGCGCUACCGAAGCACAGCAAGUA